UACGAAGGGGGGCUAGCGUUGCUCGGAAUUACUGGGCGUAAAGGGCGCGUAGGCGGUCUGUCACGUCGGCUGUGAAAACCCGAGGCUCAACCUCGGGCCUGCAGUCGAUACGGGCAAACUAGAGUACUGCAGGGGAGACUGGAAUUCCUGGUGUAGCGGUGAAAUGCUGCAGAUAUCAGGAGGAAGACCAGUGGCGAAGGCGGGUCUCUGGACAGUUCCUGACAGCUGAGGCACGAAGGCCAGGGGAGCAAACGGGG
rnacentral:rRNA from 1 species